GAUAAACGCUGGCGGCGCACAUAAGACAUGCAAGUUGAACGGACUUAAUCGAAAUAUUUAUAUUUUGAAGCGGUUAGUGGCGGACUGGUGAGUAACGCGUAAGGAACCUGCCUAUUAGAGGGGAAUAACAGUGAGAAAUCAUUGCUAAUACCGCAUAUGCCAUAGAUAUCACAUGAUAACAGUGGGAAAGGAGCAAUCCGCUAAUAGAUGGCCUUGCGUCUGAUUAGAUAGUUGGUGGGGUAACGGCCUACCAAGUCGACGAUCAGUAGCCGGACUGGGAGGUUGAACGGCCAAAUUGGGACUGAGAUACGGCCCAGACUCCUACGGGAGGCAGCAGGCGGGAAUAUUGCGCAAUGGAGGAAACUCUGACGCAGGGACGCCGCGUAUAGGAAGAAGGUUUUCGGAUUGUAAACUAUUGUCGUUAGGGAAGAGAAAGGACAGUACCUAAGGAGGAAGCUCCGGCUAACUACGUG
rnacentral:rRNA from 1 species